rnacentral:rRNA from 1 species
UGGGGAAUAUUGGACAAUGGGGGAAACCCUGAUCCAGCAAUGCCGCGUGUGUGAAGAAGGCCUUAGGGUUGUAAAGCACUUUCAGUCGUGACGAUGAUGACGGUAACGACAGAAGAAGCCCCGGCUAACUCCGUGCCAGCAGCCGCGGUAAUACGGAGGGGGCAAGCGUUGUUCGGAAUUACUGGGCGUAAAGGGCGCGUAGGCGGCCAAGUCAGUCAGGCGUGAAAGCCCGGGGCUCAACCCCGGAAUUGCGCUUGAUACUGCUAGGCUAGAGACCGGAAGAGGGUAGUGGAAUUCCCAGUGUAGAGGUGAAAUUCGUAGAUAUUGGGAAGAACACCAGUGGCGAAGGCGGCUACCUGGUCCGGAUCUGACGCUGAGGUGCGAAAGCGUGGGGAGCAAACAGG